AUGAAUCAUUUAGUUGCUAGUAUUUGGUUAUGCCACUCUGAUAGACUCGAGGAGCUUACUUGUAGUUCAUUUGGCACAUAUCCUGCAUCGACGGCAGCUCUGGUCGCACCCACUACACAAGGGGGGAAAUUCGUAAAACCGUGUGCACAGGAAUGGAUUUUACACGAGGCCUGGCUUUCACAGGUUCAGUACCACCUAGGUUCAAUGGACAAUCAAGUAAAAGCGCAAACCUGCGGCGCCAAGUUUCUCUGCCAGCUGCUCCAACAAUUUGAAAUUCUCGGCGCUCUUCAAACCUCUGCCUCCAGUGACUACCACACGUGCAUUUGCCAGGUCUGGCCGUUCUGUAUCUUGGGAUGUAAGAUUCACCCACGAAGAUUUCCUUGA
rnacentral:rRNA from 1 species